GGGUACAGAAUCCGGUGGGCUGCCACCUACCAAACUCAGAAAUGGUUCGACCAAGGGGAAGAAACCUCAGUAUUCUCAACAAGAUGUUCAUUCUUUGUAAUAUACAGGGAUUACGAGUAACCCUAGAAACCUAACUAAGCCCAUGGUAAUUACCUUCAUUAACAUGUUAUGAAAUGUUGAUGUACCACAAAUGAUACCUGCUGAAGAAGAUUGUGUUGUGUCAAAGUUUCUUGCAUCUCUAGCUUAUGUUUCCUUUUGAGUUUCUUCAUUUCUUCUUCGAGUUGGUGCACGUGACCUUUAUGAGUAUCAGCUUCUUCUUUUAACGCCAGCUGCAGCUUUGGCCUCUGCAUCCUGCAAAUCGAGCUAUCAGGAAAGUUUACGGAUAUAAAGAUGUUACGCUUGAAAUAAUACACACACACACGUAUAUCUAUAUAAACUAUUUAUGGGACCUGAAGCUGCAGGUUUAGUGAUCUCUCCGCUUCAUCCCAAGCGUCUGCUUUUCUAGCAGUUGCUUCCUAUAGAUGAAAUAUCAGCGUACGAACCAAGCUCAACGUAUAAUGUGUCGAAUGAAAAAAAAAAAAAAAAAAAUACCUGCAUUGCCUCAAUCUGCCUCAAAAGAGGCCUCGUAGAUUCGGGAACUUGCAUAACCAGUUCUUCACAUCUACGUUCGCUGGCCUGAAGAGAGAUGAUAAUGGUCGUCGAUGUCUUUCCUAAGCAUAUCUUCUCUGUAAACUGCCUGCAACAAGAGACUCAAUAGCAGCAUCUGAUUUUCUCUGCAUAGAAACUAAGAGUUAGUAUGGAACUAUAAGCCCGGUUUUCUCAACGACAAGCAUAAACGUGCACACACCUUCUGAUCAACGGCUAUAGAUUUCAACUGCUCGUUCUCAUUCAUCAGCUUUGCAAUUUCAUCAGCUUUUGCCUGUAACAGAUAAUUGUAAUGAUUUGAGGACAACUGAACAUACAAAAAAAAUGUAAAAACG
rnacentral:lncRNA from 1 species